rnacentral:rRNA from 1 species
GGUUCAGGAUGAACGCUAGCGACAGGCUUAACACAUGCAAGUCGAGGGCAGCGCGAGGGUAGCAAUACCUUGGCGGCGACCGGCGCACUGGUGAGUAACACGUAUGCGACCUGCCCCGGACAGGGGGAUAAACCCGGGAAACUGGGCCUAAUACCCCAUAUGCCAUGAGGACGCAUGUUUUCAUGGUGAAAGAUCCGUCGGUCCGGGAUGGGCAUGCGGCGCAUUAGCUUGUUGGCGGGGCAACGGCCCACCAAGGCGACGAUGCGUAGGGGUUCUGAGAGGAAGGUCCCCCACACUGGUACUGAGACACGGACCAGACUCCUACGGGAGGCAGCAGUGAGGAAUAUUGGUCAAUGGACGCGAGUCUGAACCAGCCAAAGUCGCGUGCGGGAUGAAGGCCCUCCGGGUCGUAAACCGCUUUAGCCGGGGAGUAACGUGGGGGUCGUGACCCUCAGUGAGAGUACCCGGAGAAUAAGCAUCGGCUAACUCCGUGCCAGCCGCGGC